GAUGAACGCUGGCGGCGUGCCUAAUACAUGCAAGUCGAGCGAACAGACGAGGAGCUUGCUCCUCUGACGUUAGCGGCGGGCGGGUGAGUAACACGUGGAUAACCUACCUAUAAGACUGGGAUAACUUCGGGAAACCGGAGCUAAUACCGGAUAAUAUAUUGAACCGCAUGGUUCAAUAGUGAAAGACGGUUUUGCUGUCACUUAUAGAUGGAUCCGCGCCGCAUUAGCUAGUUGGUAAGGUAACGGCUUACCAAGGCAACGAUGCGUAGCCGACCUGAGAGGGUGAUCGGCCACACUGGAACUGAGACACGGUCCAGACUCCUACGGGAGGCAGCAGUAGGGAAUCUUCCGCAAUGGGCGAAAGCCUGACGGAGCAACGCCGCGUGAGUGAUGAAGGUCUUCGGAUUGUAAAACUCUGUUAUUAGGGAAGAACAAAUGUGUAAGUAACUAUGCACGUCUUGACGGUACCUAAUCAGAAAGCCACGGCUAACUACGUG
rnacentral:rRNA from 1 species